UAAUGCAAGAAGACAAAAAGAAGGAAAAGAAUACAAAAAAAAAGAGGAGGGACCCUCCGUAAAGAUGAAUCCGGCUUCAUUGAUCAAAUAAAUUUCAAGUACAAGAGAAUGAGGAAAAAAUCACCACAAAGGGAAAAAUACAAAACUAGAGGUUCCGGACCUCUGGGGCAGAAGUAGAGUGGUUCGAUGUCCCCGGAAGAUCAUCAACGGCGGCCACGACAGUCAACGAGGUCCC
rnacentral:lncRNA from 1 species